rnacentral:tRNA from 1 species
UGGACGCAUAGCUCAGUUGGUAGAGCAGCUGACUCUUAAUCAGCGGGUCCUAGGUUCGAGCCCUAGUGCGUCCACCAA